UCAACCAUACCACUGUAAAACAAGGCAUUUAUUUGAAUAAACCAAUACUUCAUGUAUACCUUAUUGACUUAACCGUCGUCAAUUCGACGCUAUCAAACGCGUUGAUGUUUGAUUGGUCGUUAUCGCAGCAAUUGGCGUCCACAACAACGUGAAGCGCGAUAUUCGAACCUCUUAAACAGCAUCGUAUAUUGUCUAUACGAUAAGUGCUAGGCCACAGUAAUUAAUGCAAAAUGAUCGUAGUCGAAGCACAAAUCAAAUGCAGGAUGACAAACAUUAUGUUAAGAGCUGCAAUCUCAAUUCUGUAAAAUGGUGGUUUAAGUUUGAAAAUCCCGCGCUUAGGUCCUGCGUUUUGAUUGGGUGCCAGGGACAUAUCUAGCAAUCUAAUAAUAAUAUCUACAUAGGGCGCCGCGCAUGUCAUGAGAACCCCUCAGGUACCGUGCAGGGAAGCUGUUCUAGAACAUUGUCGGUCAGUCACCCCGCGCGUCGGCUGCCGCGUCAGCCUGCUCUCGCUAUCCCUUGUUGUAGUUGCAAAUAUAAAGUAAAUGGUGAUAGAUAUUAGUUUAUAAACCUAACAAAUAGCAAUUCUCGAAAAAAACAAUUGAUAAUUACACAUCAAAGGAGAAAACUGCCGCAGCCAUGUUUAUAGAAGAUUUGGAAGAUGAAUUCCCCGGUCGGCACGUAAUAAGGCCAGACUCAGACAUGAGCAAUGAUGAUGAGGUGACGAAUCUUCGAAAAAGAGUGGAAGAACUUCAACAUUUGCUUGACGAUCCUGAACGUAAGAAAAAUAUCAACGAAAUCUACUUACCGGUAUUUGACCCGGAUGAAGACCAAGUGAGCAUAGAGGAAUGGUGCAGGCAGGUAGAGGCACUGGUUAACUUUCGAGGAUGUCCAGAAUUUAUUGCAAUAAUGAAGGCCCUAUCUAGCCUAAAGGGACGCGCCAAAGAUUGGGCAGACGCACAUACUCAUAGUCUGGAAACUUGGGAAGACAUCAGAAGAGAACUAGUAGCACAGUUUCAGACAAGGCACAUCGUCAACGUAAAUAGAUUUCGUGAGUACACCUCGGAUCACGCUGAGUCAUAUGCAGAGUUUGUAAAUAACGCUUGGCGUCUCUUCUCUCGCAUUUCGCCAGGAGCGCCCACAGACCUUAUAAUCGAAGCUGUCAUAUCAGGGGUCAGGCCCAGGUCGUAUCAAUACCAACUGUUAAGAUCGCUUCCUGAAACGCAAGCAGGAUUGAUAGCGGCGCUGGGAACUUAUCAAAAAAUUCCUGUAAAUGUUACUAAAGCGGACUUCCAGGCUUGGAAUUCUCAAAGGCAGAUCAAGUGCGGGUUUUGUGGCCGAUUUGGACACGUUGCAAAGUAUUGCAGGGCGAGGAGGGCGAUUCACAGGAACAUCAGUUGGCAUCAGGGAUACCAAGGGCAGAUCUCAAAAAGAUAUUGAUAUAGAAACAAUCGUGGAGCCCCAUCCCCAGCAGCCCCACCCAGAACAGCCACCGCCACCGUAGUCACUGCUGAAGAAUCGACGGUCGCUACAGCAAGCAACGCCGCCACAACCAGUGCGUCAUCUUCGCUCGUUGUGUACGGCGAGCAGGGCUCGAGCGACAGUCGGUCAGAAACAGGUGGAGAAGGAGACUGCGUCACGCGUAUGCGAGCCGUCUACAUGGCUGUUGAAAUAUGUCGUCAUAUGCACGGCGGUGCGGCUGCAGUGCUUCCCGAUAGAGAGACGCAAGGGCUCCCCGUCUCAGUACCAGCGAUCACCUACCAUGACACCCCCUCAGAUACCGAAUGCCCCGGGCCUAGCAGCCCCGAAAGGCAAAACAGUGACAGAUUGAAUUAAACAACACAUUAAGAUACAUACGCUGCGGAAUUUAAAGACCUGUUCACAAGCACUAUCUCUGUGUUCAAGAUCUUAUGGAACCCAGCGGUCAAAUCUGGAGCUUUUCUUUUGUUAUUCUAUGGAAAGGAUAAACCCAGUAAGGCAUUGUUCUAUGGAGGGUUGAAGGCUGCACCGGCUACAUUGCAAAGGUGUGAAUGCCCCAGAAUGAUAAAUAACCCGAGAGGAAGGCCGCAGCCCAACCACGCGGCCGCAGCGGGCAGAAUGGAAUCGAAAGACUGAAUGUAGAGCGGGAUCAGAAGAAACAGGGAAUUUUUAAAAUAUUUGCCCAGCUUCUGAAUGCGAUGGGCUAGUUACGAAUUUACUAGGGUCACACACACAAACAACAGUUACGAGUCUCGACAGAGGUGAACGUGGUGGCUGGCGGGACGAUCUGAAUCCUCUCCAUUCAUAUUUGAACGGUAGGGUUCAGGAAGUCUACAUUAAGGGGACACAACUGCCGUGGUGUGCUGUGACCAGCUAAUUCUACAAGGGUCAAUUCUUGGUCCUUUAUUAUUUUUCGUUUACAAUUUGACCACAUACUAAAGGGAAAUCUUACAGUGCUUUCUGCAGACAGUGUAAUGACUUAAUACGUGUUUUAAUUCAUAUUAAUUCUCAGAGCCUAAUGUUAGACAAGUGAAAUACUGUGUUCAAUAUUAACACAAGACUUGAACGUGAAUAUUUCUGUAGUAUUAGAUAUUGCUUUAGGUGUUAAGCUGUAGGGGCGCACGCAUAUUAAGGGGUUGCCCGACAGCUCGGCAGUAAUAUAUGUUAGGACAUUAUUUAAUAUGAGUAGACAUCGCAGCUCUUUAUUCCUAAUUAGCAAGGUAAUUGGUUGUGGGGAAUGCUUUUGUCAUUUAGGCGAUGCCCUUAAGGCGCAACACCUUCGCGGUUCUCAAUCCCGGCGAUAGUCCCGGAUGUAAUACCUUGAUGCCAAAAACAGGUACUGGCUGGAGUCAAACGACGUGGCAUCCCUGACCGUGCGGUGGGGACUGCCCUCGAGUGACACCUCGACUAAUUUUCCUGCAGGAUGUAGUAGUUAAGGCAUUUGACAAACGAAGCCCCAGUUAUUUAGUAAGCAAUAUUGUAUUUCAAACUAUGAAUGUUUCAAAUGAUCUUAUUGUACUCAGUAGUUUUAUUAAGUGUAUGUUUAAAGACGAUGUUCUCCUCACGUAUGAUCCUGCCAAUAGUUUGCAGAUUACUUGAUGUCAACAAGUUUUUAAUAUUUAGUAGGUAUUAGGAUCUCAAACAGUAUAACAUAAUAUAUUCAAUUUGAUGUGUGUAGUAAAUUAAGGUUAUUUCAAUAAUUAAUAUUUAAAUUAAACCGACUUCACUGUAGUUAUUAGCAUUAGCACUUCUGGCAGUAAUUUGAAAACGAUUAAAAAUAAUAAAUGUUUGCAUCUUAAUGUUGUAGUUUUUAAGGAUAGAAAGAGCAAAUGGCAUAUAGCUAUACAUAUACAUACAUUGUAACAAUACCUGUCCCGGCGUCCACAUCGACUAGCUACGAAUUUUGUCAAUUUCUUUUUUAGAAGUCGGUAUGUUUAGAUUAAUUUAUUUCACUUGAAAGUUUUAGACUGAGCUGCGUAGCUAUUAAGACAACUGUGUUUUUAUUAUUUUCUACUUCAUUAAUAUUACUAACUAGUUUUACUAUUUUAUUGUCGUUUGGGUGAAAUUAUUUCAUUUUCAUGACGUAAAAUGCUUUUGUUGCAUUUGUUUAUUUAAAUUCAAUAUUUUGUAUUAAGAUAUUUUUUACGGACUUUACAAAUUCAAUAUGUAUGUAUAUUUUAUAACUAAGAUAUUGCUAAAGUUGUGUAGGAUUUAUGACCUAUAUUUUUUGACAUAUUUUCAACAAGAAGAGACUACAAUCUUGUCUGCUCAAAUCUGCUUCGGUUUCUCCUCAAGACCAAGUCAGAAAAUCUAGGUACACUGUUCUCACAAAGUCUAAACGUAUAAUUGUCUAGAUGUAAGUCAAAAUCUCAAAUUUUUCGGUGUUUAUUAUCGAUGGUAGUGAAAUAAGGUAUUUAAUGGAAUGUUUAACAGUAUUCAACUGUAACUCUAUCUUUUAUCAAAUAAAUCGUAUUCAACUAA